AUUUUAUCCUCACAAGAACCCUGUUAGUAGGGUCUCACUGAGAGAAAGCAGCUGGCUCCAGGUCACCUUAAGCCUCUGCUUUAGCCCAACAGCCUUAACAGCUGCACCUUAGUAGUGUAAAAGCCAGUUCUGAGAGGAAUGGGAAUUUAGUGGGGUGUGUGUGACUUGUGACGUAAUAUGACGUCCCAAACGUCAUGGUUCAUGGCUUCCGAACCGUCAUGCAUCUUGGGAAAGAGAACGCGCAUCGCGUAGGACCCUCCUUAUUACGUCCCUGCUGGGUUACCGUACCCUUGCUCGCCAGCCCGCCCGCCCGUCCCGCUAUUUGACUGCUGAGCUUGUGAUAGGCGGGCUGCUCUAACAGUCACUACCGCUUGCCCAAUACCGCGAGAGCUCUCGAGCGGCGCCGGCCAAUGGCACCUUUAGCUCGCGCAGCCCCUACUUCCCGAGCUCGCAAUAGUAUCCUAUGGAAGGGGAGAUCUUGCGCGCGCGUCCUUCCCCCUACGGUGUCCUUCAAAUGGCAUCGCCCACCGUAGAUCCUCCGCGGGGCGGUGGCGGGACAGACCAAAUGCAAUCUUUCGAGAGGGGUGAGCGUGUUUAAUGGAUAGGUAGGCUUGGUGCAAAGGCGGGUGAGGUUUUUAAUGUUAGAUACUGAGGUGGUAUUAGCAUUAUUAGCUUGACUGCCUUUUCUUUUCUCUCGGCAGGAAGGUGGGGGGCGCGAUUUCUGCAGUUGGUAUGGAGCAGGCUGAAGUUCCACCGGGAGAGUUUCCCCCCAGCCUUGCAUUCACUACCCAGAGGACACGAAGUGGCACAGAAGCGAAGAUGUAACCUGCUGUUGGAGGCCCUCUUCUGUCUUAAUCAGGAUCUCUGUUGGGGCCUUCUGCGUGCAAAGCAGGUGCAUUCCCACUGAGCUGCUGUCCUUUCUGCAUGGUGCUUUAAAAAUGCAAUAAGAGAGGCACUUUGAUCAUAGCUGCAGUAUUCAUGCUGAAGAGAGUUUGUGGCUCAGCAUCAUAUUCAGCCAUAGCAACGCUAUGAGUGGACCUAUCCUGCAGUUAAGCCAAGUUUCCAACACACCUGCUAGAAAUGGAACUUCCUGGCGGUGUCUAAACUCUGAAGUUUGUGAAAGGAACAAAGCUCUUGUUGAAGGAACCAUUAGUGCUGUUCUUGUAAUUAGUGCUGUUCAAGCUAAGCAGCUGUGAAUAAUUUGUAUGCAUCUAAGGCAUUACCUAUAGGGAUGCGGGUGGUGCUGUGGUCUAAACCACAGAGCCUAGGGCUUGCCGAUCAGGAGGUUGGCGGUUCGAAUCCCUGCGACGGGGUGAGCUCCUCUUGUUCGUCCCAGCUCCUGCCCACCUAGCAGUUUGAAAGCACGUCAAGUGAAAGUAGAUAAAUAUGUACCACUCUGGCAGGAAGGUAAACGGCGUUUCCUUGUGCUGCUCUGGUUUGCCAGAAGCGGUUUAGUCAUGCUGGCCACAUGACCCGGAAGCUGUCUGCAGACAAACAGCAGCUCCCUCGGCCAGUAAAGCAAGAUGAGCGCCGCAACCCCAGAGCCGCCCGCGACUGGACCUAAUGGUCAGGGGUACCAUUACCUCUACCUUUAAGGCAUUAUCAAUUAAUGUUCAUAUUUUCCAUUCAUCCAAACUUUAUUAGAUAUUUAUAUAAAUAUAGAUACAUAUAUAAUUUCUGAACUUUGAAGUCCGAGAAGAUACUUUUUAAUUUUUUUAAUGCUGUGUCUGAUGUAAUAAAGUAGAUCAUUAUUUGUAAAUUGAAUACAGUAAUAAAAAGUUUGAUAGUUAUUCAUAUUGAAUAUUAUAUUAAUAUAUUAUUAAAUAAAGCAUACCUUUGCACAAUU